UCUAAAGGCUCGCAUAUUUCAAGUUUUUCUUGAGAAGGCAGCUUGCCUCCGUCAAAAUUAGAUGAGCUUGGCAUGAAGAUUUUAGAAGAACAAUUUAAAUUGCUCACUAAUUUUGAAGUUUUGGAAUUUUUAAAAAGCUUUGAAGAAAAACCUGGCCGUAACAAUAAUUUUAAUACUCUUAAAUUUGAGAUUAUCAAAUACUUAGAAGAGAAUGGGACGCAGCAGAUAACUUCCUUGACUGUUACUGAUGCUUGCAAUUUUUUUAAACAAUUUCAGUUGACUAAGGGUGAACAACUUCAGAUUUUAAACAACCGACCGAAGAGUUUGGUCGAGUUGUUUACCAUAGUCGAGAGGUUGGGGGAAAGACCUUAUUUACAGAAAGAAGAGGACUUGGAAAAUUUUUUGCAGGGU